rnacentral:rRNA from 1 species
UACAGAGGGGGCUAGCGUUGUUCGGAAUUACUGGGCGUAAAGCGCACGUAGGCGGCUUUGUAAGUAAGAGGUGAAAGCCUGGUGCUCAACACCAGAACUGCCUUUUAGACUGCAUCGCUUGAACACGGGAGAGGUGAGUGGAAUUCCGAGUGUAGAGGUGAAAUUCGUAGAUAUUCGGAAGAACACCAGUGGCGAAGGCGGCUCACUGGACCGUUGUUGACGCUGAGGUGCGAAAGCGUGGGGAGCAAACAGG